rnacentral:misc_RNA from 1 species
GUUUGACAUUAACGACAUAAUUAAUAAGUAAUAUAAAUAAAAGAUCAUUUAAUUGCAUUUUUUCUUGACAUUGGAAAUGAAUAAGAUAAUGCAUUAUCUUAAAACGUACAAUAUAUAUAUAUACACACAUACUAUAUGAAGUGAACAAUAUUCAUUGAAGUGCAUCAAACAAAGUCAUUGAUUUUGUUAAAUUGAACUAAAAAUAAUUUUUGAAUGUAUAGUAUACAAUAAUCUAUGAAUUUAGGCGUAUUCAAUAGAGUCAAUCAUAAAGAUUCCCAAGGAGGAAUGUAUUCAGAAUGGGCUUCUUUAAGCAUUCUGAUUCAACAAGGUUCAGAAGAAAGUCAAAGUGUACUAGAAAAGUUUUCACCUGGAGCAGGAAAAGAAGUCGCAUUAUCUAUAGUACGUCAACUAGCUGCUAAUCUUGGAAUAACUCAAGCAGCAGAACCUAGUCCAUUAUGCACCGAUAAAGAAGUACAAUGGUGUAUGGAAGUUAUUUGUUAUGGUCUUUCUUUACCUUUGGCUGAACAUGAUACUGUUAGAGAUUGCGUUAAUGUAUAUUGUGAAUGGUUAUCCGCAUUAUAUUCUACACCAAAAAUUUCUGUACCAAGACCGAUAAUAGAUGAUCCAAAUUUCUAUGCUAGAAAAAUUAUAAGUCAUUUUCAUAAUUUAUUUAUUCCACGAAAAGGAGAAGUCUGGCCAUUUUUAUAUCAGGAUUUAGGAAGUGAUACUAUAAACAGACAAGCUGUAUUAUGCCAUAGAGUGCUUAGAACACUUCAACAAAUUGCAAGAGGUCCAGCAUCAUUAGAAAGAGAAACUUGGGAAAGUUUAUUAUUAUUUCUUAUUGGAAUUAAUGAUGCAUUAUUAGCACCACCAGCAACAAGGGAAGAUGCUGGUGAACAAUUAUGCGAAAGAGUACUUGGUGUACUAUUAGAGGUAUGGUUGGUAGCUUGUGAACGUAAUUUUCCUGCUCCUCCUUUAUGGCGUACAUUACGAGAGUCAUGUCUUCGUUGGCGACACAGAUUAGCUUUAAUAGAACAAUGGAAUCGUGUGUGUCUAGCACUUACAGCACGACUUUUACAAAUCAUGUAUGGACCAAUGUUUCCAGAAUUAAAAAUAAGCGAAGAGGAUGCACAACUAGUACCACCAACUAUGUCAGAGGAAGCUGUUGCACAAGCAUGGUACAGACUUUUACGAACUAUUGGAGAUCCUGUGGAUUUAUGCAGACCAGCUGUAGUAUCACAAACUCAAGCAUUUUUCCAAUAUGCUAUUGCUAGUCCAAAUGUUAUAGAUCCUUGUCAACAUCCAUGUCUACAAGGAUUGCCACAAAUAUUUUUGAAAGCUAUCAAAGGAAUAGCUGGACAAGUUGAUGCAUUUCUUGGAGUUUCACAAGCAUGUUGCUGGGAAGAAUGUUGUGUAUCCAACAUUGCAUCUGGAAGCAAUAAUAAUGGAAACAUAGGUGUUGGGUGGGACAGAUCGAGUGGCAAGGAUCAACCACAACCUUCCCCUACACCUCCAACACAACGCCGACUUGCCAAAAGUUUCAGUGUUACACCUUCUGCGGUUACUAAGGGAAUACCAAAAGCUUCUUUGAUUAGUUUAACAACCAGUCGUGUGUCUAGUACACCUCCAAUGUUGAUAUCAAAUUCAGGACCAUCGUCAGCAUCUAGUACAACUUCUAUGACCUCACUUGGUCAAGAUAUUCGACCUCCUUUAGCACCAGGAAGACCAAAGUGUAAUAGUAUAUUACAUCUUUUUGGAGAAUGGUUGUUUGAAGCUGCUUUUAUAGGAACAAAUGGAUGGUCACAAAAUUUACCACAGCCAUCAGGUGCAUCAAAACGUCCAUCCUCAGUACUUGUAGAUGGUCCAAGUUCAUUACAAGAAACUGUUAGUGAAGUACCUCCUACACUUUACAUAGAUCGUUAUGAAUCAGGUAGAGCAGAAGCUAUGGGUGCACUGUGUAGAAUUUUUUGUGCCAAAAAAACUGGAGAAGAAAUAUUACCUGUUUAUUUAGCUAGAUUUUAUCAAGCAAUGCAUCAUGGUCUGAAAUUAGAUGAUACAAGAGAGUGUGGCGAAACAUUAGCAUAUAUUCUUUUGAAUUCGUCUGAUUUAUUUCGCUUAGAUUUAAAUGGCGUACAAGUGUUAGUACCUGCAGUAUUAUCUGCCUUGGAACUUGUACUCCCUGAGAAAGAUUUAAAAUUAAAAUCUAAUAUUGUUUCAAAACCAGAUUUAAGAAGAGCUUCAAUACAUUUACUAAUAUCGAUGUUAGCAUUACCCUUACACUUUCAGAAUCUCCCUAUUAAAGAACUUCCAACAUUUCCCAACACAUCUACUGAAAAAACUCAAGUAACUUUUGCACAAUUAAAAUCAAGAUUAAUGAAUUUGCUUAUCAAUGCAUUACAAGUGGAAACUGAUCCUCAAAAUACUCAUAUGCUUCUUGGCGGUCUUUUACUAAGUGUACAAGAUUCUGCUGCAGCAGAGGAAGUUGAACAAGUUACACAACCAGAUGCAGUGCCAAACGAUACAUCAGUUAAUUUAUUAUCUUCAGUUACCAGCGAUUCAGCCAGUCAAAUAAGCAUAUCCAGUGAUCAACGUUCGCUCGGUGAUGCCUCUGAUAUAGCAACUCUUCAAGAGGAAUGCAUUGCAUUCGAUUCGGCACAUGCUCUUUUUGUACGAGCCACAUAUCUAGUUUGUCACAGGUUGAUAUCUUCAUGGAAAACAGAUUUAAAUAUUUCUUUGGCUGCACUGGAAAUGUUAUCAGGAUUGGCAAGAACACGAAUUCGUGAAACAGCAAGGAAACUUACAGAUGCAUUGGAAUGCAAACGAGCUGUAAAAUGGUUAUGUGAUUAUAUAGCAUACCAAUGUUGGCGACCUCCUCCAGCACAUUCCAAAGAUUUACAUUCUUCUAUUGUAGCAGCAUUUGGUUGUUUAACUACCUGGUUAACUGCUCAUUCUCAAUUAUUACAGGAUAAGGAUUGUUUAACAACAGUCUUGGAAGUAGUUGAAUUAGGAGUAUCAGGUACAAAAAGUAUUGGAAAACCAGGUGAACCAAUUAAAAUGAAAGAUGAAAAAGAAUUGAAACCAGCAUCUAUGCGUGUAAGAGAUGCUGCUGAAGCUCUUCUUACAAUAAUAUUGGAACAGGUUGGUUAUUUUCCUAGUGCUUGUGGUGCACAAUCAUUGUCAUCUUUACUCGAUGAAGUUUCAUUGCUUCGACAUUGCAAUAGUUGGACUGGUGGUCGUGUUGCACGACAAGCAGCAGUUGAAAGAUUUCGUUACUUUGUUGCUGAAAAUGCAACAAUUUUAGCUUUAUUAGAAGAACCUCUUGGAAAUGAUCAGGAUCCACAACCAACAGUAACAGUUUUAAUACGUGGACCAUUUGGUAGACAUGCAUGGACUCUACAAUUACGACAUUUGCCAAGACACAGAUCUAGUAUUAGAAGUGUUAAUACAAAUCCUGGUCGACCAUUACCAUUAAAUGAAGCAGCACCAAGAAUGGAUUAUAAACCAAAAUUUUUUCCUGACAAUGUUGAUAGAAUUCCUCACUGUAAAGUUGAUGAGUCAAUACCUAGUCUCGAGGCUGUUAUGAACGAUAACGAAUCAGUUAGAAGUGAACAUGAGUUGUUAUCACAAUUAUUAGAACGUCAGAUAAAUCUAGAAAAAAAGUAUGACGAUGUCAAUAAUAAAGAUACAGAUGAGAAAACUGAAGAAUGUGCACCACCACAAAUAUGUCAUGAAUUCCAAACAGCUCGUUUAUUCUUAAGUCACUUUGGUUUUCUCAAUAUUGAAAACAGAGGUAGCGAAGAGUCUGGAAAUAGUACUCUUACUGCUUUGGAUCCUACUAUUCCAGGAUUUUGUACAGAUUUGGAAACAUUAGAUAAUAUUAGUUCAAGAACCUGUGAUACCGUUCAUAUAUUUUAUGUUAAACCAGGUCAAAAAACAGCACCUGAAAUAUUAUCCAAUGUACUUAAUGAAAAAAAUGUAUCGCCACAUUUUUUGGAAUUUCUCAAUUCACUUGGUUGGCCAGUAUCAGUUUCAUCUCAUGCUGGUUGGACUGGUCAUAUUUAUACCUCAUGGAAAGUAACACCACAAAUGAAUGUUUCACAGUCAAGUACUAAUGAUCAUGGUGGUUCUCUUUACAAUGGUGAUACACAUGUAUUAUAUUGGGCUGAUGUCAGUGCAGAAAUUGCAUUUGUUGUACCAACACAAUCAUUUAUUAUGACUAAUUCAGAUUCAUUAGAAGAAGCUAGUUAUACUAGUGACACUAGUAAUGGUGCUCAGUCUUGGUUUGAAAGAAGUAUUAGUGAAAGUGGAGGAUCUCGUUCCUGCAGUAUUCCACAGAAUGCAAGAACAAUGUCACUUGAUUUUGAAAAGCAACCAUCAAGUUUUUCAGGCUCAGGUCCUCCUAGUUCCUCAAGUGCGGAUCCUGUUAGACCAAGAAGAACAACAAAACAUGCUUUACCAAUACAAACAGAUACAAGGAUUAUGGUGGUAUGGCUAGAAAGCUUGGAAGAUUAUACUCAUUUUCCAAUUGGAGAUCUUUUACCAUUUACACAUACUGGUUUAGAAUAUUGUAGAACAGUUCAACCUACUGAUGUACAAGUGAUUUUUCUUCAGUCCCUUGCUAGUGGACUUAUGAGAGUUAGAUUACAAGGUCCAACUUCUAGGAUAAAUUUAGCCACUCCAUUAAUUGAUGGCAUGGUUGUAUCUAGAAGAGUAUUAGGUACUCUUGUUAGGCAAACAGCAUUAAAUAUGGGUCGACGUAAAAGACUUGAUAAUGACAGCUAUCAUCCACCACAUGUUAGAAGGAGAUUAAAAAUUCAAGAUAUGGUUCAGAAAUAUAAAAGAAAUUUAACUGAACCAGAAUUAUUAACAGUUUUAUUUAGCAGUACUGAAACUGCUUGUUAGAUUUUUACGGGAUCAAUAGAAUAAAAUAUAUUUCUUAUAAUACACUUCAUUUGGAAAUCAAGAUCUUGAUAUUUAAAAAAAAAAUAAUAAGAUAAAAGAUAACAAGAGAGACAUAAUUGGCUGACAAAUACGACUAUUGCACAAGAAAGUAUUAUAAAACAUGUUAUAUAAAUAUCUACUGUAUAAUUAAAAACACAGAAAUAAGAAUGAAA